rnacentral:piRNA from 1 species
UAUUGGUUGGUCUACACUCAGCAUGUGU